UACGUAGGGUGCGAGCGUUGUCCGGAAUUAUUGGGCGUAAAGAGCUCGUAGGCGGUUUGUCGCGUCGACUGUGAAAACCCGAGGCUUAACCUCGGGCCUGCAGUCGAUACGGGCAGACUAGAGUUCGGUAGGGGAGACUGGAAUUCCUGGUGUAGCGGUGAAAUGCGCAGAUAUCAGGAGGAACACCGGUGGCGAAGGCGGGAUCCUGGGCCAGUACUGACGCUGAGGAGCGAAAGCGUGGGGAGCAAACAGG
rnacentral:rRNA from 1 species